rnacentral:rRNA from 1 species
GUGGGGAAUCUUGCGCAAUGGGCGAAAGCCUGACGCAGCCAUGCCGCGUGAAUGAUGAAGGUCUUAGGAUUGUAAAAUUCUUUCACCGGGGACGAUAAUGACGGUACCCGGAGAAGAAGCUCCGGCUAACUUCGUGCCAGCAGCCGCGGUAAUACGAAGGGGGCUAGCGUUGCUCGGAAUUACUGGGCGUAAAGGGCGCGUAGGCGGACAGCUUAGUCAGAGGUGAAAGCCCAGGGCUCAACCUUGGAAUUGCCUUUGAUACUGGCUGUCUUGAGUUUGGGAGAGGUGAGUGGAACUCCGAGUGUAGAGGUGAAAUUCGUAGAUAUUCGGAAGAACACCAGUGGCGAAGGCGACUCACUGGCCCAAUACUGACGCUGAGGCGCGAAAGCGUGGGGAGCAAACAGGAUUAGAUACCCUUGUAGUCC